GAGGGAACUUUGAAAGGAAGGGUGCCAUCGGCCUUCAUUCUAUAUAACAAUGAAGUGAUAGCCAAUCUAAAAGACAUUGGUACAAAAAUAACAAAUGAGAUGAAGAGGGACAUUGGUCAGCAAUGGAAAAACCUGUCGAACGAAGACAAGCAAAAGUAAAAACAUUUGGCUGAGUUGGCAAAAGAAGACCUCGCCAAGCAUAAAGCUUUACUUCCGCCAAAAUCCAAAAAAGUUAGUACAAUUGUAGGGACCUGUAUAAGUAGGUAAACAUGAUUUGACCUGAUUUUCGAAUGCCAACUUAUUUGGUGAUGUUUGUUGAUUUUUGCAGAGAAAGUU